GAUGAAGAACGCAGCGAAAUGCGAUAAGUAAUGUGAAUUGCAGAAUUCAGUGAAUCAUCGAAUCUUUGAACGCACAUUGCGCCCAUUAGUAUUCUAGUGGGCAUGCCUGUUCGAGCGUCAUUAAGUCCACUUAAGCCCUGCUUAGUGUUGGGAGACUGCUCCAGCGGUGCUACCCUGUAGCUACCCUGCAGCUCCUCAAAGACAGCGGCGGAGUUGUGGUAUCCUCUGAGCUUAGUAACUUGUUCUAGCUUUCGAGGACACCACUUCCCCUGCCGUAAAACCCUUAAUUUUUAAUGGUUGACCUCGGAUCAGGUAGGAAUACCCGCUGAACUUAAGCAUAUCAAUAAGCGGAGGA
rnacentral:misc_RNA from 1 species